rnacentral:rRNA from 1 species
UACGUAGGGCGCGAGCGUUAAUCGGAAUUACUGGGCGUAAAGCGUGCGCAGGCGGUCUGUUAAGACCGAUGUGAAAUCCCCGGGCUUAACCUGGGAACUGCAUUGGUGACUGGCAGGCUUUGAGUGUGGCAGAGGGAGGUAGAAUUCCACGUGUAGCAGUGAAAUGCGUAGAGAUGUGGAGGAAUACCGAUGGCGAAGGCAGCCUCCUGGGCCAACACUGACGCUCAUGCACGAAAGCGUGGGGAGCGAACAGG